UAUGUUUUAUGAAUUAUACACUAGUAAAAUCCUGAAUUGUAGAACUGCUGUUACCCUAGCACAGAACUGAACUGGGCAGCUCAUCUCUCCUGAGACAUGUGAACCCCACUCUUCCCUGGCAACCCUCUCACCCAGUGUCCCUGCUUCCACUGUGUAUGUCUCCCUCCCAGCCAUUAUCUUUCUCCUUAGUCCUGCCCCAGGCCAAGCCAAGAAAUCAUCAUAGGCCAGGCUGGUUGUUGAUAGAGUGCAAAGAGCAAUAGAUCACCUUUUAAUGAUGGAGAGCAGCUUCUGUGGCUUCUCAGCUUCUUCCCGGGAACGUCUCCUAGCUGAGGAACGGGGAGACAGUGUUAUAUGGCAUGGGAUAAUUUCAUAGGCAUCCUAUAGGAAGCUGAAUAGUAAGGCCUUUGACUCUCAUCAAGAAAAGACUACAAUCCUGAAAAGUCCGUACUCUAAGGCAUGUCUGAGUACAGCAUCGCUGUAACACAAUGUCCCAUAUCUAAUUUCAUUUGAUUUUUACAACCACAAUGUGAUUGAGGCAGGAUUGUCAGUGUUUUGCUCAUUUUGUGGAUAAGAAUGAGAGAUGAAAUGACUUCCACAGGGUCAUAAAACUAGUAAGUUAUACAAUUAAGAACAUCUGCUCUACUUUCUUAAUUCUUCAUUUCCAGGGCAUUGAGGUACAGGAUUUUGGAACAUUCUCAAGUUAUGAUUUCCCACCCAUGGAAAUUUCAGUCUGGGGAACUGGAGUCUUCAGUGGCAGAGCACCUGGCUCUUGGCUCCAGAGGUCACAGAGGGACAGGAUUCAUGGGAAACACCCACAGUGGAAGGGAGUCAGAGGAGAGAUUGGGACUUUACCUGUUGAUGCUGCAUCUCUAGCUCUUUGCCUGACUUUUUGGUGACACUUAGAAGACAAAAACAUUAGAAUGUGAAGCUGGGACACCAUUUUCUUUCUCAUGUCCAAAAUGAGACAAAACUUACAUACAUUUUUCACUCGCUUUGUAUAUAUCUAUCUGUAUUUUAUACACUCUCCUGGACUUCCUUUGCCUAUUCCACCUUUUUACCCCAUUUUCCUUCUCUGCUUAUUUUGGAUUCACUUGGAGGCUUUUCCAAAUUCUAUACCUCCCAUCUGAUUCACAGAGAAGUCCUGCUGGAUGCUGAGGAUGACACAGGAGGAAAAGCAGAACAGACAAAAGGGUAAAUGGUUCUAACAACCAAAGGACUUCUGCUUACAAAGCCCACCAACCGGAAAAAUCCCCCAUAUUCAGAGAGCUUCCGAGAUCCAGCAAGAUAGACUUCAUAUUAUCUAGUUCUCAAUCCAAACCAAAUAGAGAGGUUCUUGGCUUUUCAAUCAGACUAUGUUGCGGGAAGGGCCUGGUAAGGAAUUAUAGUCUCUGAGAAGAAAAGUAUUACACAAAGGUAACUGAAAGUAUGCUAUAAAAAUUCUGGGGUGGGGAUUAUAAGGGAGCACGGUAAGAACUUAUAGGCUUCUUAUCUGAGGCUUAAUUAGUUCAGUUGGGAUCACAGCCCUACCCGGCAGCAGCUCCUUUUAGGUUCUGAACUCAAUUCAUGGUGGCUCCUUUUCACUUGCCAGAUAAUUACAAUAACGAUGAAGAUGGAGCCAUAGAUGUAUAAGGGAUAUCCAACUUCCCACAGAACAAAAGUAGGGCUCAACAUGGUCUAAACUUCAUUAGCAUGAGAUCAACCAUCCCUCUAUCUCGGAAUUCAGGGUUCUGGUGCCUAAUGAAUCCCAGUGCUAGGCCUUGUCAUGUCCACCUCACAGAGGACGGAACUAGGCCACCAGACUGCAUCACAAAGCCCUCCUGUUUCAUAAGGUACAUGUAGUAGGGAAGCUCAUGUGGUGAUUCAGUCUGUAGAUGAGGGUGUUUUGAGCCUGGGACUGAAGGUGCCACAAGCAGUGUCUAUUUCCUAGUCUGUCUUCACUUUCCACUCCCUAUACCAGCCUGAUGCCUCGGCUCUCUCCUUCACAACUGUAUGGUCACCUGUCCUCAGAAAACUGAGUGCUUUGGCACAGGGGUCACCUCAUAAGAAGGGGUAGAUAGGCCGGAGGAACCUCCACUAACUCUCCCACUAGUUUUGGUAAUAUACCUGAGAAACACACAUGAAUUUAGGGAGGGCGGAGUCUGGUUAUGGCUUGGAAAUGGAGAUCUUUGAUGUUUUAGGCAAUGGGUGAUUGGUAACAGAGGUGCAGGAAGGGGACCAUGGCUGAUGUGGUAGGGUGGUAGGGAGAGGCCAAGGUGGUUGUACGUAUCUGGUCUGUGUGGCCUCAAGCUUGCAGAUGGGUUGGGACUGUAAAUGCUACCUUCCAUGGAGGCACAUUCAUGCUCAGGGAGAUGAAUGCCUGCAGAGAUGGGUUAGUGGCCGCUUCUGACUGUGGGUCACAAGUGACUAGUUGCUGUUCAUGGUUG
rnacentral:lncRNA from 1 species